GUGGGGAAUAUUGCACAAUGGGCGAAAGCCUGAUGCAGCGACGCCGCGUGCGGGAUGACGGCCUUCGGGUUGUAAACCGCUUUCAGCUCUGACGAAGCUUUUGUGACGGUAGGAGCAGAAGAAGCACCGGCUAACUACGUGCCAGCAGCCGCGGUAAUACGUAGGGUGCGAGCGUUGUCCGGAAUUAUUGGGCGUAAAGAGCUUGUAGGCGGCUUGUCGCGUCUGCUGUGAAAACCCGGGGCUUAACCCCGGGCUUGCAGUGGGUACGGGCAGGCUAGAGUGUGGUAGGGGAGACUGGAAUUCCUGGUGUAGCGGUGGAAUGCGCAGAUAUCAGGAGGAACACCGAUGGCGAAGGCAGGUCUCUGGGCCAUUACUGACGCUGAGAAGCGAAAGCGUGGGGAGCGAACAGGAUUAGAUACCCUAGUAGUCC
rnacentral:rRNA from 1 species